rnacentral:rRNA from 1 species
AGAAUCAACGCUGGCGGCGUGCCUAACACAUGCAAGUCGAGCGCCCGUAGCAAUACGGGAGCGGCAGACGGGAUAGUAACACGUGGGAACGCGCCCUUCGGUUCGGAAUAACUCAGGGAAACUUGAGCUAAUACCGAAUACGCCCUUACGGGGAAAGAUUUAUUGCCGAAGGAACGGCCCGCGUCCGAUUAGCUAGUUGGUGAGGUAAUGGCUCACCAAGGCUACGAUCGGUAGCUGGUCUGAGAGGAUGACCAGCAUCACUGGGACUGAGACACGGCCCAGACUCCUACGGGAGGCAGCAGUGGGGAAUAUUGGACAAUGGGCGCAAGCCUGAUCCAGCCAUGCCGCGUGGAUGAUGAAGGCCUUAGGGUUGUAAAGUCCUUUUAACGGGGAAGAUAAUGACGGUACCCGUAGAAUAAGCCCGGCUAACUUCGUGCCAGCAGCCGC